rnacentral:lncRNA from 1 species
UAUAUUUUUCUUUUAAAUCAACCAAUAAAACGUCAAUUUAAACUGGAGUAAUUAUUUUAAGUAGACAUCCAUUCAUAAAAUUUCUCCUAAUGACUCCAUUUUUUAAUUAUUUUCUGUGUUUUCUGUUAUCUCCUUCAGCUAGUAGUUAUUCUUUUAUUUUUCUUUCAAAUCAACCCAUAUAACAUCAUUUUAUACUGUUUACGAUGUUUUAUUAUUUAGUUACUUUUUUAUUAUUUUUUCUUUUCCUUUCAAAACAACUAUAUAACGUCAAAUUCAUCUAUGCAUUCGACGUCUAAUGAGUUGUGUUUUAGUAUAGUUUUGCGCGUGUUUUUCGGUAGCCUAGUACCACCUUCUUCCUUUGCUAGUUUCUUCAUAAGAAAAACUUGCGUCUUUUGCAUCUCUAAUGGCAUUUCAACCCAAAACCGAACCUGGGUCGUUGCCUAGACGUCAUGCAAACCGCCAAUGGAAAAGAAUACGGUGACAUGAGAACUAGGCAAGACCCAGGUUCGGUUUUGGUUGAAAUACCAUAAGAGACCAAAAGACGCAAGCUUUUCUUACUAGGAAACUACUAAAGGGAGAAGGUACUAAUACGCUACCAAAAGACACGAGCAAAACUGCACCAAAACACAACGAAAACUCAUUUUAAUCGGUUCAAAUGGAAGAUAAUCCAUCAAAGUCUAAUUUAAUCGGAGUAAAAGUAAGUUUAAGCGAUUCAAAAGAUAUAAUACGCACAUAGAAAUGCAAUGCCACGUAGAAAAAAGGCGAGGAGGAAGACGAUGAAGUGUGCGUAACCAUGGAUUCGCGAUUUCCGAUUUAACAGGAAAAAAAAUAGUAAGAAGAUAAGUGCUUUUUCAAAAUCUAUAGAACCAUGGAACUGCUUUUAUAACUUGAAGUUUCUUGAUUAUAUGAUUCAAUUUUUAAGUUUCAAGAAGUUGUUUUCUACUGAAUUAAUGGAUCUGAUUUCGGAGAGAACAACUUUUUGAAACUUUAAAAAAUGAAUCAAUAAUUAUCAAACUACGGAAUUGUAUAGAGUUAAGCAUCAUAUUUAUAGAGUCAAUUCAAACCUCUGGUAACAACACAAAAUUAAUGCUCACAAGCAGUCCUAACCAAUGACUUUCACGUCGAAGCCCCCUAUAAUAGACGUUCUAUGGGAAUUUAAUAAGUAAAAAGAAAAAAAAAAGAGCGACCAAAACAUCAGAUUCUCAAGAAAUUCGACGUUUAUUGUUGGAUUAUAAGAAAACAAAAUUAAACCAAAAAGACACUUUGGAAGUCUGGAGAAAUAUGUUGGUACCAGCGGGGUAUGGUUCAAAGAGUAUAACGCAGCGGAAUAAAACUAAGAGUAGCGUAUAAGCGUGUUCGGUCACUUUUUAAAAGAAGUUGGUCCUUUUUCGAAAAACAAUUUUCUUUCAGAAAAUUUAUGGAACAAUUGAUAUGCGUAAAACUGUAAAAAGUAUAGGGAAUAGAAAAAUCACACAAGUAAUUUUUAUACUGGUUCGAUUCAAAAGAAUCUACAUCUAGUCGUUAAUCACUAUAAACAGUGAUUAACAGUUCCACCAAAAAGAUGUUUCUCAGAUUAAAUAAACCUUCCUUCGACGAAGGAACCAGAAGAAUGACACUCAGCCAACUCAAAGAGAACCGCUCCGGCAAUCGACCAACGAUUCGCGAGCUUCUCUUAUUCACGAGACCAGGCAGAGCACCUUGCUAACUCGAAG